UUUGGUGUGAAUUGCAGAAUCCCGUGAACCAUCGAGUUUUUGAACGCAAGUUGCGCCCAAAGCCAUUAGGCUAAGGGCACGUCUGCCUGGGCGUCACGC
rnacentral:rRNA from 1 species